rnacentral:rRNA from 1 species
GUUGGCGGCCAAAGCGGAGGGGGUACGCCCGGUCUCAUUCCGAACCCGGAAGCUAAGCCCUCCAGUGUAGUGGGUAGUACUGUGGUGAGAUACCACGGGAACUCCACCACGCUGCCAACC